rnacentral:lncRNA from 1 species
AUUUAAGUAAGAACAUGUGACUUGAAUCACACUUCUCAGCUGGCCAUUCGCCUCCUAAAAAACAAAAUAAAUCACAGAGUCUGCAAAGAGCAAUCAUCUCAGAGACUCAAGCAGCUUCGUACUCAUCCAGAUAGGGAAGCAGGCUGAAAUACUUCGUUACUUAGAAUUUGGAGUUGGUCAUCAUAAAGAAAGGAUGAAAGCAUUCACAGGAGAAAGAGAAAAGAAGAGCAUAAUUCAGAGACCUAUGAAAUUAUAUUUUAAGUUAGAAGAAUAGUAAAACAGAAGGAUUUGGAUGUAACCUAAGUGCAUGGCUGGAAGCUCACUAGAUGAUGCCUCAAUGUAUGACAUUCCUCCUGUUUCAACCCAACAAGCACGGGCACUGCAGGCAGAAGCCGCAGCACCAGGAUUUUGUGAUUUUAAAGCCUUCUCCAUACCAAUGAAUGAAAACGAGAAGUGGACAUUUUAAGAAUCAGUUCCUGAUCGUUGUGAAGUUUUAUGUAAAUAGAUCUUGCUUGUCAGUAAUGUUCUCUGUGUUAAACCUUCAUAUGGUUGAACAAAUGAACUCAACUCAAAUAAAAUUGAACUAUAACUAUUUUCAUUAAAUCGCCUAAUAUCGAAAAGACAUUAUUUCCACAUGUUUGUAUCAUUACAAGCUUUUAGGGAAGAGCAAGCACUAAUGCCUUAUUUCAGCCCUUCAAAGAUAUCAUAUCAGACUAACCAAUUAACAGAACCAUUAAGGAAAUGCACUGCAAUUAAGUUUACAUUCACCAGAAAGGCUUGUUGGUAGAUAACAGGAAUCAUUAUUUGCAGGACAUUUAUUUAUUUUUACAUUCUAUAAUGUUGGUUACCACCACCUUUUUAUAAUGACAACAUUAUGAAAAAAUGAAAACAACAAUAUGAAAAAUUAAAGGUACCUCUACAUAUGCAUACAUAGGGCUCUGUAUUCUUGCUUCUGUGGCAGCUUCAGUGAGAGGUAAUCUUGGUUGCUGGGAAGAAAUUGCCAUCUCUCUCUCAAGGAAGGUAUAGAGUUUGGCUGAGUCAGCCUGGAAUGUGUGUUUCCUAUCUUGAAGAGAGAUGUUCCUUGUUCACAAGUAGGGUGUGUGUGUUUCAUAGAU